CAACGAGCGCGGCUGCAGCGGGACGAGCCGCUCCGGGCCGGGCGCUGGCGCCGAGGCCGCUGCUGCCGCUCCUGCUCUCACUGUGCCCGCUGCGGGACCGGGGCCUCGCCGGGGCUCGCUGCUGCUUGAGCCGCUCAUCCCGCAACUGCCGCAGCACAGGACAUCCUGAGUGGGAAUGGAUACACAAAGACCACCAAGUCGCACCCUUAUGUGAAUGGCUCCUCUGGCGAUUGAACCCACACCUGGGCACUCUCAGCACCCUGCUCCAGCCAAGCCAAUCUCAGCUCCUGGCAAUAUCCUGCCUGGGAUAGGAAUGCCAAGUGCCAGCAAGGUCAUUCCUAUGCAAAUACAGCUCCUUCUUUUAUGCUAAUGCUGCUUUCCACACCAGCCCCUGCAAUGGCCCCAGGGCAGAGCUCCAUGGCCAGCAUCUGAUCAUGCAACAACACAGGUGAGCAGUUGUGUGACAGCACUGAACUCUUCCCAUAACCUGAUUUCCUGCCCUUUCCAGGAUUUACCCAACAGCUGUAAAGGUGCUCGUUCCAUGGCCCUUUCCAGGGAGAAAUGAGCAAGGCAAGUCCUGAGGGUUCACUUGGUCCACGGCCAAAGCUCUUCUGGAGAGGGUCAGGGCUGCUCCUGCCUGCAGAGGGGCCUUUCCCACAGUUCCCCACUGAGAAGAACACAACCUCACAGCUGUUAAGGCCUGACAGUUCCCUGCAGGGAGAGCUCAGCACAUGUGCCCAGAGGCAAUCCCAGCAUCUGAAAGAAAGAAAGAAGCAGCAAAAGUGACUUUUGCAAGCAAACUCUGAAGCUGACAAGCCCAGAAGCUCCAUCCAUCCACUCUGGAAGGAAAGGAUACUCCCAGGGAUGAGGCACAUUCCCAGCAAACUCUCCCAACACAGCCUGGAGGCAGCGCUGGAGCUCGGCUGUGGGGCUGGGAAGGGCUGCCAGGAGCACGCAGCCCCCAGGUGGGGUGGCAGCGGCAGCAGCAAAUUCCCACAGGCUGAUGGCACAACAGAGAGACAAAGGCCAGCAGUGCCCAUGGGAGGUGCAGGGUUAAUUCUGCUCCCUGCCCUGCCCCAUCCCCGCAGGAAAUCUCCAAGAGGGAGAGAAACUCUCAGGGUGCCCAAAAUGCAGCAUCUGUCACCCUGAUCCCGCUUCAACUCAGCGUGGGGGGCCAAACUCCCCCCACAGGUAAACACUGAGCUGACCUGGUCAGUCUCAAACACAGCCCCAGUUCUCACCUCCAGCCUGCUCCUGGGGCUGCUGCCACAUUCCUGACAAGGAGCCCCUGUGGACAGGGCUCUCUCUGUGUCUCAGGUGCUGGGCACUGCAGGGACCAGGGCAGCCCCCUCUGGGGACAAUUGGGGAUUCAUCCCACACCACAGGCAGGACCAGGGGCCCUCCAGUACAGGCUGGUGGGGCCAGAGCCCAUUGGGUUUGGCUGCUCAAAUACCAAAGCUUUUGGCAAAGAUGGGACAAGUUAAGUGGGUUUUCCUGUCCUGAGAGAGAGAAGAAAUUGUUGAAAUUAAGCAUGGAAAUUAAGUCCACUGUGGAAGUCAAAGGCUCCUGGCUUUCCCACUCCUGUUCUGAUUGCUCACUAGAGGGUUUUAUCCAUAAAAAAAUGAGAGGUGGCACCAAAUAAAAGAGCUCUUUUUCAA